GAACAUACCUAUCCAAUUACUCCAAUUGCAUUCAUUUUUUUGUCAAACAUUUGCAGACGCUUUUUUGCAUUUUUCUGACAGACUUUUUUCAAGAAAUAAACAUAUUUCAGCAGCAAAAUGGACGAAUUGCAAAUGGAUACAAAUUCCCUAUCCGAGUCUGCGUCUGAAUAUGCCACUAGUGAACGCGCACAGGAAACCCCGCGAGAGGAGAAACUUGCAACAGGCGCCAAUACCGGCACCGGCAUUUGCUAUUGUGGGAAGGAACGAAAUCUCAAUAUUGUGGAGCUCCUGUGUGCCAAUUGCAGUCGUUGGUUUCACGAAUCUUGUAUUGGCUAUCAGCUGGGCAAGUUGGUACCGUUCAUCACCAAUUAUGUGUUCGUCUGCAAGAAUUGCUCGCAAAGUGGGCUUGAGGUCUUUCGAAAAAGUCAAGCGACUAUACCACAAAUGUGCAUCACUGCCAUAGCCAAUAUGCAGCAAAAUGCGCUGAAGGAAGGGAAGACUAAAUUCCUAUUUAGCAAAGACAAAGAAAUCAUCCCAUACAUCGAACAGUACUGGGAGGCAAUGACGACAAUGCCUCGACGUGUCACACAAUCUUGGUAUUCUACGGUGCAGAGGUCACUUGUCAAAGAUGUCAGCACUUUGUUCACGUACGAGGAAAACUCUGAAUUCGGCACCAUGUUUGGUUUAGUAACGCAGGAUCUCGCACAGAUUAAACCGAACUACGAUUCCAUGGGUAAGGGCGGAUUACUGCGAACAUCCGAAGAUGGUCACGGAGCAGCUUCAUCACUGACAAAGAAUAAUCGUCAAUACAAACGAAAACCGCCCGGUAAUGAUUCUGGACCUACUGGUAAAAAGGGCCGACCUAGUUCAGAUAUUACCGCAAAUGUGAAACUACCAGCUCAUGGGUAUCCGUUGGAGCAUCCUUUUAAUAAGGAUGGCUAUCGUUAUAUUCUAGCUGAACCUGAUCCUCAUGCACCCUUCCGGCAAGAGUUCGACGAAAGCUCUGAUUGGGCUGGCAAACCAAUACCUGGUUGGCUGUAUAGAACACUGGUUCCCAAUUGCGUUUUAUUGGCCUUGCAUGAUCGUGCACCACAACUAAAAAUUUCAGAAGAUCGUCUGUCUGUCACUGGUGAUAAGGGAUACUGUAUGGUGCGCGCUACUCAUUCUGUAAAUCGUGGGCGCUGGUAUUUUGAAGCCAUUGUUGAUGAUAUGCCCGAAGGCUCUGCAACAAGAUUGGGCUGGGGUCAGGAGUACGGCAACCUGCAAGCACCCCUCGGCUAUGACAAAUUUGGCUACUCAUGGCGGUCACGCAAGGGAACUAGAUUCCAUGAGAGUCAUGGCAAACACUAUAGCGAUGCUUAUGCGGAAGGCGAAGUGCUGGGUUUUUUAAUAGAUUUACCUGAUGAAGUUGACAGCAAUUACUUACCUAACACGUUUAAGGACAGACCGUUAGUAAAGUUCAAGUCACAUUUGUAUUAUGAGGAUAAGGACAAAGUGCAGGAAACACUUAAAGGCCUUCAAGUGCAGCCUGGCAGCAAAAUAGAAUUUUUUAAGAAUGGAAAAUCCCAAUCUGUAGCUUUUUCAGAUAUAUAUGGUGGUUUAUAUUAUCCUACCAUAUCAAUACAUAAGAAUGCCACCGUAAGUGUAAAUUUCGGACCGAAUUUCAAGCACCCCGAAAUAUUAAAGGACUACAAAGCGAAGGGAAUGUGUGAACGUGUUGAGGAAUUAAUAAGCGAACAGUGCCUCUCAGAUUUAUUAUAUUUGACCGAGAAUGAUGGAAGAUUGCGUUUGGAUAACUUUAACUUGUAAGAAUUACUAUACCGAAUUUUAUUUAAAUUUUUUUAAUGCAGUUGUAACUAAUCUAAAAAUAGCAGUAAAUUAAAAUAAUACUACAAUGGUGAGUGCGGCAGUGACGAUAUUUGAAUGAACGCGAUUCGAAGGAUUCGAGCUUGAGUGAGAUGAGGGUUUACAUUAAAUUUGCACGCUCCUAGAAUAUUGCAAUAUUUGGAUGAAACACAACCGUUUUAAAAAUAAAACCUGUUCAGAAAAUUGUUUUUGACUAUGUUGUAAAGUUAUUUCAAAAUAUUCCUUGUCGAAAUAUUAAGCUAAAUAAAACAUAUUUUUUUUUAUAAUUUUACCAACAGAAUAUCUGUACCUACUGUUGUCAAAAUUUAUUUGACCACAAUUUUAUUUUCAAUAUUUGCAGAGCUUUAAAGCACAUAUUUCAUUUGGAGUGUUAAAAAAUAUCGUCGCUUGCUCCACUGCCACUACGACGA